rnacentral:lncRNA from 13 species
AGAGGACAGUGUGUUCAAAGCCAAAUCAAGGAGGAGGGAGACGGUCGGGGUGGCAGAGAUACAAGAGGAUGGACAACUAACAGUGGACCUGCCAAUCGACCAGGUGGUGGCCAAGGUGGUGGAGGAGCAGUGUGAUGUCAUCAUGGCGUUGUCUCCUCAGCAAGACAGUGGUGGAGGUGAAACGUUCUGCUCUAUAGUACCGAAGUCAGCCAGCUCCAAGAAGGCCUCGGCCAGACUGACCAGUGCCUUCCCUGAGCAGCCAGCACCCCAGGCCGGGCCCCCAGAAACGGGUCGAGACACCCGAACCCUCACCCACUCCCCCGUAGGGACCAGCCCCACCACACCUACCAGAGACACAGAGCCCCUACAGACACAUGGCAAGACUGAGCCACAGAAUGUAAAGAAAGCCCCCAAGGUGGCGACGAGAGCAGAAGACACAAGACGUCAGUAGUCUAGCUUUACUUCAGUAUAAUACCCAAUAAACAUGUCCAUCUCAGCAGCCCACUUCAUUAAGAUACUACUGUACAUAUCAAUUACUGUUGUUGUGCUUGUGGUGGUUGGGGUUGUUGAUGUUGUGGAUGUUGUUGUUGUGGUUGUCUGAGUCAAGAGACAUAAAUUAACCUGAGUGCCUGUGAUUACAGCAUACAGGUGAUUACUUUGCCCAGAGGCACGCUUUUCUCUCUCUCUCUGACUCUCUCUCUCUGACUCUCUCUCUCUCUCUGUGUGUGUUGCAUUUUCUCUGCAGUAUUCAGAUAAAUGGUUUUGUUAUUUCUCCUAAUGCCUAAAUCAACAGCCAGAGAAAGUGUGCAUGUCUGUAAACGUGUAUGUGCGGGUGUGUAUGUGCAAAUGCGUGUGUGUGUAUGUAAACCUGUUUGUGUGUAGAGACAUAGCAAGGCCUUUCUUUAUACAGUACCUUGUCCUGUGAUGGGUGGCAGGUAGCCUAUCAGUUGGAGCAUUGCGCCAGUAAAUGAAAGGUCGCUAGUUUGUAUACCUGAGCCGUGAAGGUGACACAUCUGCCGAUGUGCCCUUGAGCAAGGCACUUGACCCCAAUUUGCUCCAGGGGCUGACCCUGUAAAACAACACAUCACUGCACCUAUCACAGGCUGUUGAUGUGACCAUACAAUAGAAAAAGAUGCAUCAGCCGGCUGAUUAAAACUGACAUCAUCUAAUAAGCUGAUGAUAUUUAACUGAUGGGGGAAAAAACACUCUGCACACAUCUAUAGAUAUUAAAAACCAUGAGGACUAAUGAUGCAGAAAAUAAAGGUGUUGAUGUUUCAACCCCCAGGCUGUAUAUGUAGCCAGUGAUACAAAUGAAAAAUACAAUCCUGUGUGUGUGUGUGUGUGUUUGUGGACCUAGUGUGAAAAUGUCACCUGCUGAAGAUGUGAGGUUUAGUCAGUAGUACUGUAGCUCUAUUUUAACACCAGACAAACAAGUGUGUAAUGUUAUUCAUCUUGCUAUUGUUUCACUGCCGGAUCCAUCCCUAUAAACUCUUGUACAUUGUGUGUGUGUUUGUGCCUGUAAAUGUGUGUGUGUGUAAAUGUGCAUGGCUGUGUGCGUUUCUGAAGAGG